rnacentral:tRNA from 1 species
GGGUCGGUGCCCGAGCGGCCAAAGGGAGCAGACUGUAAAUCUGCCGGCACAGCCUUCGAUGGUUCAAAUCCAUCCCGGCCCA